rnacentral:rRNA from 1 species
UGCAAGUCGAACGCAGUAGCAAUACUGAGUGGCAGACGGGUGAGUAACAUGUGGGAAUCUGCCUUGUGGUUCAGGACAACAUUGGGAAACCGAUGCUAAUACUGGAUAAGCCCUUACGGGGAAAGUUUUAAUGCCAUAAGAUGAGCCCGCAUUUGAUUAGUUAGUUGGUGAGGUAAUGGCUCACCAAGACAAUGAUCAAUAGCUGAUCUGAGAGGAUGAUCAGCCACACUGGGACUGAGACACGGCCCAGACUCCUACGGGAGGCAGCAGUGGGGAAUCUUGCACAAUGGAGGAAACUCUGAUGCAGCGAUGCCGCGUGAGUGAAGAAGGCCUUUGGGUUGUAAAGCUCUUUUGUAGGGGAAGAUAAUGACUGUACCCUAAGAAUAAGGUCCGGCUAACUUCGUGCCAGCAGCCGCGGUAAUACGAAGGGACCUAGCGUAGUUCGGAAUUACUGGGCGUAAAGCGCGCGUAGGCCGUUGAGUUAGUUAAUUGUGAAAUCCCAAAGCUUAACUUUGGAACUGCAAUUAAAACUGCUCGACUAGAGUUUGAUAGAGGAAAGCGGAAUACAUAGUGUAGAGGUGAAAUUCGUAGAUAUUAUGUAGAACACCAGUUGCGAAGGCGGCUUUCUGGAUCAACACUGACGCUGAGGCGCGAAAGUAUGGGUAGCAAAGAGGAUUAGAUACCCUCGUAGUCCAUACCAUAAACGAUGAUUGCUAGAUGUUGGAAAUUUAUUUUCAGUAUCGCAGCUAACGCAUUAAGCAAUCCGCCUGGGGAGUACGACCGCAAGGUUAAAACUCAAAUGAAUUGACGGGGACCCGCACAAGCGGUGGAGCAUGUGGUUUAAUUC